UGCCCUAAAAAAAUCUCAUCCCCUCUUUACUUCGGUUAAAGCCUUAUAUAUUUCUGUUAAGAUCAUGGGUAUGAGAGUGAACCUGCCCUUUUGAUUAAUGCCCUUGUCAUUUUGAUCCUUAUGAAAUAGAGCCAUCACCACAGAUUGCAAACGUGUAUUAAUACGUCUUUCUUCUAGCGGAAACACUAAAGUACCUAACAAAGCGAGGGUGAAGACUUCAAGACGCUUUCUCUCCCACUUCUCCUUAGUCAUAUGAAAUUCAUCCCAAAAGCAAUCAAAACCUUCCGAGGGCCCGAAUCUAGUGAACAAAAAAUCUAAGGAAACCCACGAAUCACUUAAACAACCCAAACGCAUACCCUUACUUUUUAAACCACAAGACUGCAAAAAUCUCACGCCAGU
rnacentral:lncRNA from 1 species